AUGGAUCCAAAAAAUGGGUGCUGCAUUACAGUUCAAGACCAUUGCAUCUACUUGCGGAUGGCUUCCAUUUUGUGCUCCAUGGAUCAUGAUCUUGAGAGGCUCGCUGUCGAGACUAAAGGGAAAUUCCAUUUUCCAAUUGUUCUUUUAGUAGUACUGUUUCAGUCCAACUUUGAUAGGAUAAUGAGGAUCAGUGAACUUCCAAUGGUUACUUCUUAUAGUUGUUCUUUGUAUUACUUCAUGGGCGAUAGGGAUAUGCACAAGUCGUUGUCGUCCACAUCGUCGCCACAAGGAAACACCAGCAUCACUGCCAGCUACACGCACAUCUUUGGCACAACCAGUUUCUCAAGUUGUCGCCGCGUGGACGCGUCCCACUCCAACGGCAUGGCUUAUGCUUCAGUGGCAAACAGUGGAGCCCGCUGGAGGAGUCACGGGUCAAGGACCUCCUGCUCAACAGUACAACGUCUUGUUUUGUGGCAAGUCGCUCAAGGAGCUGAGUGCAUGCCGCAGAAAAAACAAUUGUCGGGUUUUUGGUGGCCAAAUAUUAUUGAUAUGGAGAUGGAUAACUAUGUGGAUGUGCUCCUGUUGUUUUUCUGGAAAAAAACAAGAUGCCAUGUUUUACUUUAUGAGCUUUCCAAUUUGCAUACUUUAAAGUUGCUGCUUGCUCCCACCCUUAGAUUGUGCAAUUUCAAUGGGUGUCGUCGUGCAUGUUCGGAAGUAUGCCCUUUGUGCAAAAUGUGUGAAGUUUUGUCAGUAUUUUGUAUUUUCAUUUGGCAGAGGCUUCAUGUGGUCUUAUGGAGCUUUAUAGAUGUACUGUCACUACACUUUUAA
rnacentral:rRNA from 1 species